rnacentral:rRNA from 1 species
CGACGUAGGGCGCAAGCGUUGUCCGGAUUUAUUGGGCGUAAAGGGUGCGUAGGCGGCGCGGUAAGUCGGGUGUGAAAUCUCGGAGCUUAACUCCGAAACUGCAUUCGAUACUGCCGGGCUAGAGUCCGGAAGAGGCGAGUGGAACUCCUGGUGUAGCGGUGGAAUGCGCAGAGUAUCAGGAAGAACGACCAACGGGCGAAGGCAGCUCGCCUGGGACGGAACUGACGCUGAGGCGACGAAAGCGUGGGGAGCGAACAGG